UACAGAGGUGGCAAGCGUUGUUCGGAAUUACUGGGCGUAAAGGGCGCGUAGGCGGUCUUGUAAGUCUUGUGUGAAAUCCCUCGGCUUAACUGAGGAACUGCACGGGAUACUGCGAGACUUGAGAUCGGGAGAGGGAAGCGGAAUUCCGGGUGUAGCGGUGAAAUGCGUAGAUAUCUGGAGGAACACCGGUGGCGAAGGCGGCAUCCUGGACCACGACUGACGCUGAGUGAGCGAAAGCCAGGGGAGCAAACGGG
rnacentral:rRNA from 1 species